rnacentral:rRNA from 1 species
GACGAACGCUGGCGGCGUGCUUAACACAUGCAAGUCGAACGAAGAGCGAUGGAAGCUUGCUUCUAUCAAUCUUAGUGGCGAACGGGUGAGUAACGCGUAAUCAACCUGCCCUUCAGAGGGGGACAACAGUUGGAAACGACUGCUAAUACCGCAUACGAUUUAACCUCGGCAUCGAGGAAAGAUGAAAGGUGGCCUCUAUUUAUAAGCUAUCACUGAAGGAGGGGAUUGCGUCUGAUUAGCUAGUUGGAGGGGUAACGGCCCACCAAGGCGAUGAUCAGUAGCCGGUCUGAGAGGAUGAACGGCCACAUUGGGACUGAGACACGGCCCAGACUCCUACGGGAGGCAGCAGUGGGGAAUCUUCCGCAAUGGACGAAAGUCUGACGGAGCAACGCCGCGUGAGUGAUGACGGCCUUCGGGUUGUAAAGCUCUGUUAAUCGGGACGAAAGGCCUUCUUGCGAACAGUUAGA